rnacentral:rRNA from 1 species
GACGAACGCUGGCGGCGUGCCUAAUACAUGCAAGUAGGACGCAGAUGCGAACGGGAGAGUAACGCGUCGGUCACUCCCUGUUAGAGGGGGAUAACUAUUGAAAACGAUAGCUAAUACCGCAUACUAGUAGAUGGACCUUCGUUGGAUUAGCUAGUAGGUUGGGGAAUUGCCUACCUAGGCAACGAUACAUAGCCGAACUGGAGAGGUGAUCGGCCAAAAUGGGACUGGGACAACGGCCAGAAUCCUACGGGAGGGAGCAGGAGGGAAUCGUCGGGAAUGGGGGGAAACCUGAACAGGCAAAGCCGCGUGAGUGGAGAAGGUUUUCGGAUCGUAAAGCUCUGUUGUUAAGGGAGCGGUACUUAACCAGAAAGGGACGGCUAACUACGUGCCAGCAGCCGCGGUAAUAC